GUGCUCACUUCGGCAGCACAUAUACUAAAACUGGAAUGAUACAGAGAAGAUUAGCAUGGCCCCUGCACAAGAAUGACAUGCAAAUUCGUGAAGCAUUCCAUAUUUUU
rnacentral:snRNA from 1 species